rnacentral:rRNA from 1 species
AUUGAACGCUGGCGGCAUGCCUUACACAUGCAAGUCGAACGGCAGCACGGGAGCAAUCCUGGUAGCGAGUGGCGAACGGGUGAGUAAAGUAUCGGAACGUGCCCAGUCGUGGGGGAUAACGUAGCGAAAGUUACGCUAAUACCGCAUACGUUCUAUGGAUGAAAGCGGGGGAUCGCAAGACCUCGCGCGAUUGGAGCGGCCGCUAUCAGAUUAGGGAGUUGGUGGGGUAAAGGCUCACCAAGCCGACGAUCUGUAGCUGGUCUGAGAGGACGACCAGCCACACUGGGACUGAGACACGGCCCAGACUCCUACGGGAGGCAGCAGUGGGGAAUUUUGGACAAUGGGCGAAAGCCUGAUCCAGCCAUGCCGCGUGCAGGAUGAAGGCCUUCGGGUUGUAAACUGCUUUUGUACGGAACGAAAAGGUUUGGGCUAAUAAGCUGAGCUCAUGACGGUACCGUAAGAAUAAGCACCGGCUAACUACGUGCCAGCAGCCGCCGUAAGAC